UAGCGUAGGGCGCAAGCGUUAUCCGGAAUUAUUGGGGCGUAAAAGAGCUCGUAGGCGGUUUGUCGCGUCUGCCGUGAAAGUCCGGGGCUCAACUCCGGAUCUGCGGUGGGUACGGGCAGACUGGAGUGCGGUAGGGGAGAUUGGAAUUCCUGGUGUAGCGGUGGAAUGCGCAGAUAUCAGGAGGAACACCGAUGGCGAAGGCAGAUCUCUGGGCCGUAACUGACGCUGAGGAGCGAAAGCGUGGGGAGCGAACAGG
rnacentral:rRNA from 1 species